UAACCUUUGUUAUCGUCGUGGUGCUCCGGUCUUCUUAUCCGGCGAAGCAAUACCUCAAACCCCUCCAUUUCCUCAGACAAAGUUACCACGAGGUAGAGUUUUGCAUGGGGAUUCAAACCCCCCUUGUUUGAGACUCUGAUUUGCACCCAUCAUCAUUUAAUUUUUGUUUUCCAAUCUAGUGUUCUUGAGUUCCUCUCUUCGAUUCAGCCCGGUGCUUAUGAAUUAUGUUGUUUGGUUUGGGUAUUCGUUUUUAGCAAGGUGAGACGAAGAGUUUGGUGUAAGGUUUAGGUUGUCUUUGAGCUCUACCGCUGGCGGCGAUGAGCUCCGGCGCGGCGGAGCGGGAGAGGGCUACUUUAGAGCGUGUUUUAAAAA
rnacentral:lncRNA from 1 species